rnacentral:rRNA from 1 species
CCUACGGGAGGCAGCAGUGAGGAAUAUUGGUCAAUGGGAGAGAUCCUGAACCAGCCAAGCCGCGUGAGGGAAGACGGCCCUAUGGAUUGUAAACCUCUUUUGUCAGGGAGCAAAGUCACCCACGUGUGGGUGUUGGAGAGUACCUGAAGAAAAAGCAUCGGCUAACUCCGUGCCAGCAGCCGCGGUAAUACGGAGGAUGCGAGCGUUCUCCGGAUUUAUUGGGUUUAAAGGGUGCGUAGGCGGGUUAUCAAGUCAGCGGUAAAAUCGUGGAGCUCAAGUCCAUCCAGCCGUUGAUACUGAUGAUCUUGAGUGGGCAAGAAGUAUGCGGAAUGCGUGGGGUAGCGGUGAAAUGCAUAGAUAGCACGAAGAACUCCGAUUGCGAAGGCAGCCUACUAAACUGCCACUGACAUUGAUGCUCGAAAGUGUGGGUAUCAAACAGGAUUAGAUACCCGGGUAGUC